rnacentral:rRNA from 1 species
UACGUAGGUGGCGAACGUUAUCCGGAAUCACUGGGCGUAAAGGGUCCGUAGGCGGAACGACAAGUCGGACGUGACAAGGCGCGGCUCACCCGCGCGAGGUCGUUCGAAACUGUCGCUCUAGAAUCGGUGCGAGGUCGGUGGAAUUCCCGGUGUAGUGGUGGAAUGCGUAGAGAUCGGGAAGAACCUCAACGGCGCAGGCAGCCGGCUAGUGCCAGAUUGACGCUGAGGGACGAAAGCGUGGGGAGCGAACAGG